GGUAGGAUGAUGAUACUCUAUGUCCUGUACUUUGAGGGUCCCCCUUGUGAUUGCUGUUCUCUGCUUUUUGAUGGCAGGUGUUUGGGCCUGUGAGUCCAGUUCUCUACAAUGAUCCACCCUUAGUCAGGAGCUAUUUUCUGUUUUUCAAAAUGAUAAAGGAAGGCUGAGUCUUGGAUACAGCCCAUCUUUACAUCUCUAGCUCCUUGCUUGGUGUCCAGGACUUAAAAGAAAAUGCAUUUGAUGCAACCUGGAAAGCGCUCACAGGCCUAGGAACUGCAGCCCAAGAUGCAGCAGGUAACAGAGCUGCAGCUCCCCAGUGCUGCUCUCACCUGGCCCUCUGCACUGAACAGGAAGCCACAGACUCCACAGGGCCUCCCCAGCCUGUGGAUAUGCUGUUGCUCACAGGGCAAUCAGCUGCCGAACAUGAGGAACUUGGGGACUCUGCUGUCUGGUCAUCUCCUCACCUGUGAAUGCCUUUCACCCCUGGGAGUGAUCCUUGGCUUGCUGUUCUCCCAAAGAGCUCUAAACACCCCCCCCCCCGUCUCACUGGUUGAACGUCCUUCUGCCUUUGCUGUGUUGUGGUUCUGAUGAGUUACCUCCACACUCACAGGGUCAGACAGCUGCUGAACAUCGUUAGACGUGCCCAGUCCAUGUGGACUCUCCUGUCACAGACACAGUGUGCCUUUGCGGCCACCACAGCCAUCCUCAUUAGCACAUAUUUUUAUCUUCUCAGUCUUGGGGAUGCACUCAAAUGCUCGCUGACCAAAUGUUCCUAUAAAUAACACCUCAGAUCGUCACCUUCCUAGUUUAUACUUACCUGGAAGCUGAGAUCUGAACGCUCACCUUCUGCUUUAAUAAAGCAGCCCCAUGCAGGCGGUGCAGUCUUACAUUCCCUCCACUCUGCCUUGGGAAUACAUAUGCCCCCCAACCCCUGCCUGCAGUGCUUUAGUGCUUUGCUGUCAGAAUCCUACCCCCUUUGCAAUACGGUGUAACUCCAUCUUCCCCUAAGAAGCUGUCAAGGCCAGGUCUGAUUCAGUACAAGCAAAUACAGUAGCUGUAUCCUCACCCUUGUAUGGAACUGAAUACACGAUGACCAGUAUAUCUGCAUUCUUCCUCCCGGAUGGAAGUGCCUGGAAGGCAAGGGCUGCCUCUCUAGCCACAAUAUUCGGCUCCCAGGAAGCGCCUCACUGCUCUUUUCUGGAUGCGAUGACAGGAGUCCCGCAAGGCAGAGAAACUGAAAUACAAA
rnacentral:lncRNA from 1 species